rnacentral:rRNA from 1 species
CUCUGGGUGGAGGCUCGUAGCGAUUCUGACGUGCAAAUCGAUCGUCAAAUUUGGGUAUAGGGGCGAAAGACUAAUCGAACCAUCUAGUAGCUGGUUCCUGCCGAAGUUUCCCUCAGGAUAGCAGAAACUCGUAUCAGAUUUAUGUGGUAAAGCGAAUGAUUAGAGGCCUUGGGGUGAAACAACCUUAACCUAUUCUCAAACUUUAAAUAUGUAAGAACGAGCCGUCACUUGAUUGGACCGCUCGGC